AACGGCGAGUGAAGCGGCAAGAGCUCAAAUUUGAAAGCUGGCUCCAUCCGGGGUCCGCAUUGUAAUUUGGAGAGGAUGCUUCGGGUGCGGCCCCCGUCUAAGUGCUCUGGAACGGGCCGUCGGAGAGGGUGAGAAUCCCGUCUGGGGCGGGGAGCCCCGCGCCCAUGUGAAGCUCCUUCAACGAGUCGAGUUGUUUGGGAAUGCAGCUCUAAAUGGGUGGUAAAUUUCAUCUAAAGCUAAAUACAGGCCGGAGACCGAUAGCGCACAAGUAGAGUGAUCGAAAGAUGAAAAGCACUUUGAAAAGAGAGUUAAACAGCACGUGAAAUUGUUGAAAGGGAAGCGCUUGCGAUCAGACUCGCCCGCGGGGUUCAGCCGGCAUUCGUGCCGGUGUACUUCCCCGCGGGCGGGCCAGCGUCGGUUUGGGCGGCCGGUCAAAGGCCCCCGGAAUGUAGCGCCCCCCGGGGCGUCUUAUAGCCGGGGGUGCCAUGCGGCCAGCCCGGACCGAGGAACGCGCUUCGGCACGGACGCUGGCGUAAUGGUCGCAAGCGACCCGUCUUGAAACACGGACCAAGGAGUCUAACAUCUACGCGAGUGUUUGGGUGGCAAACCCAUGCGCGCAGUGAAAGCGAACGGAGGUGGGAACCCCCCCGCGGGGCGCACCAUCGACCGAUCCUGAUGUCCUCGGAUGGAUUUGAGUAAGAGCGUAGCUGUGGGGACCCGAAAGAUGGUGAACUAUGCCUGAAUAGGGCGAAGCCAGGGGAAACUCUGGUGGAGGCUCGCAGCGGUUCUGACGUGCAAAUCGAUCGUCAAAUUU
rnacentral:rRNA from 1 species